CAGGCCUAACACAUGCAAGUCGAACGGCAGCACGGGAGCAAUCCUGGUGGCGAGUGGCGAACGGGUGAGUAAUACAUCGGAACGUGCCCAGUUGUGGGGGAUAGCCCGGCGAAAGCCGGAUUAAUACCGCAUACGACUCAUGAGUGAAAGCGGGGGAUCGCAAGACCUCGCGCAGUUGGAGCGGCCGAUGUCAGAUUAGCUAGUUGGUAGGGUAAAAGCCUACCAAGGCGACGAUCUGUAGCUGGUCUGAGAGGACGACCAGCCACACUGGGACUGAGACACGGCCCAGACUCCUACGGGAGGCAGCAGUGGGGAAUUUUGGACAAUGGGCGCAAGCCUGAUCCAGCCAUGCCGCGUGCGGGAAGAAGGCCUUCGGGUUGUAAACCGCUUUUGUCAGGGAAGAAAAACUCUGAGCCAAUAACUCGGAGCCAUGACGGUACCUGAAGAAUAAGCACCGGCUAACUACGUGCCAGCAGCCGCGGUAAU
rnacentral:rRNA from 1 species